GGUUAAGCGACUAAGCGUACACGGUGGAUGCCUAGGCAGUCAGAGGCGAUGAAGGGCGUGCUAAUCUGCGAUAAGCGUCGGUAAGCUGAUAUGAAGCGUUAUACCCGACGAUACCCGAAUGGGGAAACCCAGUGUGUUUCGACACACUAUCAUGACAUGAAUACAUAGUGUCAUGAGGCGAACCGGGGGAACUGAAACAUCUCAGUACCCCGAGGAAAAGAAAUCAACCGAGAUUCCCCCAGUAGCGGCGAGCGAACGGGGAGGAGCCCAGAACCUGAAUCAGUUUGUGUGUUAGUGGAAGCGUCUGGAAAGUCGCACAGUAAAGGGUGAUAGUCCCGUACACAAAAAUGCACAGAUUGUGAGUUCGAUGAGUAGGGCGGGACACGUGACAUCCUGUCUGAAUAUGGGGGGACCAUCCUCCAAGGCUAAAUACUCCUGACUGACCGAUAGUGAACCAGUACCGUGAGGGAAAGGCGAAAAGAACCCCGGCGAGGGGAGUGAAAUAGAACCUGAAACCGUGUACGUACAAGCAGUGGGAGCCUACUUGUUAGGUGACUGCGUACCUUUUGUAUAAUGGGUCAGCGACUUAUAUUCUGUAGCAAGGUUAACCGUAUAGGGGAGCCGCAGGGAAACCGAGUCUUAACUGGGCGUUAAGUUGCAGGGUAUAGACCCGAAACCCGGUGAUCUAGCCAUGGGCAGGUUGAAGGUUGGGUAACACUAACUGGAGGACCGAACCGACUAAUGUUGAAAAAUUAGCGGAUGACUUGUGGCUGGGGGUGAAAGGCCAAUCAAACCGGGAGAUAGCUGGUUCUCCCCGAAAGCUAUUUAGGUAGCGCCUCGUGAAUUCAUCUUCGGGGGUAGAGCACUGUUUCGGCUAGGGGGUCAUCCCGACUUACCAACCCGAUGCAAACUACGAAUACCGAAGAAUGUUAUCACGGGAGACACACGGCGGGUGCUAACGUUCGUCGUGAAGAGGGAAACAACCCAGACCGCCAGCUAAGGUCCCAAAGUCAUGGUUAAGUGGGAAACGAUGUGGGAAGGCAUAGACAGCCAGGAUGUUGGCUUAGAAGCAGCCAUCAUUUAAAGAAAGCGUAAUAGCUCACUGGUCGAGUCGGCCUGCGCGGAAGAUGUAACGGGGCUAAACCAUGCACCGAAGCUGCGGCAGCGACACUUAGGUGUUGUUGGGUAGGGGAGCGUUCUGUAAGCCUGCGAAGGUGGCCUGUGAGGGCUGCUGGAGGUAUCAGAAGUGCGAAUGCUGACAUAAGUAACGAUAAUGCGGGUGAAAAACCCGCACGCCGGAAGACCAAGGGUUCCUGUCCAACGUUAAUCGGGGCAGGGUGAGUCGACCCCUAAGGCGAGGCUGAAAAGCGUAGUCGAUGGGAAACAGGUUAAUAUUCCUGUACUCGGUGUUACUGCGAAGGGGGGACGGAGAAAGCUAGGUUAUCCGGGCGACGGUUGUCCCGGUUUAAGCGUGAAGGUGGGUGACUUUGGUAAAUCCGGGUCAUCGUUAACACUGAGGCGUGAUGACGAGUCACUACGGUGAUGAAGUAACCGAUGCUACGCUUCCAGGAAAAGCCUCUAAGCUCCAGGUAACAUCAAAUCGUACCCCAAACCGACACAGGUGGUCAGGUAGAGAAUACUCAGGCGCUUGAGAGAACUCGGGUGAAGGAACUAGGCAAAAUGGUGCCGUAACUUCGGGAGAAGGCACGCUGAUGGUAGGUGAAGUGACUUGCUCAUGGAGCUGAAAUCAGUCGAAGAUACCAGCUGGCUGCAACUGUUUAAUAAAAACACAGCACUGUGCAAACACGAAAGUGGACGUAUACGGUGUGACGCCUGCCCGGUGCCGGAAGGUUAAUUGAUGGGGUCAGCCGCAAGGCGAAGCUCUUGAUCGAAGCCCCGGUAAACGGCGGCCGUAACUAUAACGGUCCUAAGGUAGCGAAAUUCCUUGUCGGGUAAGUUCCGACCUGCACGAAUGGCGUAAUGAUGGCCAGGCUGUCUCCACCCGAGACUCAGUGAAAUUGAACUCGCUGUGAAGAUGCAGUGUACCCGCGGCAAGACGGAAAGACCCCGUGAACCUUUACUAUAGCUUGACACUGAACCUUGAGCCUUGAUGUGUAGGAUAGGUGGGAGGCUUUGAAGCGUGGACGCCAGUCUGCGUGGAGCCAACCUUGAAAUACCACCCUUUAAUGUUUGAUGUUCUAACGUGGACCCGUAAUCCGGGUUGCGGACAGUGUCUGGUGGGUAGUUUGACUGGGGCGGUCUCCUCCCAAAGCGUAACGGAGGAGCACGAAGGUUAGCUAAUCCUGGUCGGACAUCAGGAGGUUAGUGCAAAGGCAUAAGCUAGCUUGACUGCGAGAGUGACAGCUCGAGCAGGUGCGAAAGCAGGUCUUAGUGAUCCGGUGGUUCUGAAUGGAAGGGCCAUCGCUCAACGGAUAAAAGGUACUCCGGGGAUAACAGGCUGAUACCGCCCAAGAGUUCAUAUCGACGGCGGUGUUUGGCACCUCGAUGUCGGCUCAUCACAUCCUGGGGCUGAAGUAGGUCCCAAGGGUAUGGCUGUUCGCCAUUUAAAGUGGUACGCGAGCUGGGUUUAGAACGUCGUGAGACAGUUCGGUCCCUAUCUGCCGUGGGCGUUGGAAGAUUGAGAGGGGUUGCUCCUAGUACGAGAGGACCGGAGUGAACGCACCACUGGUGUACGGGUUGUGAUGCCAAUUGCAUUGCCCGGUAGCUAAGUGCGGAAGAGAUAACCGCUGAAAGCAUCUAAGCGGGAAACUUGCCUCGAGAUGAGUCUUCCCUGGACACUUGAUGUCCCUGAAGGGCCGUUGAAGACGACGACGUAGAUAGGCUGGGUGUGUAAGCGUAGCGAUACGUUGAGCUAACCAGUACUAAUGACCCGAGAGGCUUAACCUU
rnacentral:rRNA from 1 species